GGGUCAGUAGGUUGGUCGUGCCACCGGUACGUACUGGUCUCACUGAUUCCUCCCUCCUGAAUAACCGUAAUGCCAUUAAUUUGGUGUUGCGGGGAAACAGGACUGUUACUUUGAAAAAAUUAGAGUGUUUAAAGCAAGCUAACGCUUGAAUACAUUAGCAUGGAAUAAUGAAAUAGGACGAUCGAUCCUAUUUUGUUGGUUUCUAGGAUUGACGUA
rnacentral:rRNA from 1 species